rnacentral:rRNA from 1 species
AUCGGAUAAAUUGGAGGGGGAAGUCUGGUGCCAGCAGCCGCGGUAAUUCCAGCUCCAAGAGCGUAUAUUAAAGUUGUUGCAGUUAAAAAGCUCGUAGUUGAACCUUGGGUUUUGGAGGGAGGUCCACCUCACGGUGAGUACUUCCAUAUCCAAGACCUUUCCUCUGCUUCCUCGCAAGAGGCAGCAGAAUAUUACUUUGAGUAAAUGAGAGUGUUCAAAGCAGGCGCACGCUUGAAUCUGUUAGCAUGGAAUAAUAGAAUAGGACGCAUGGUUCUAUUUUGUUGGUUUCUAGGACCAUCGUAAUGAUUAAUAGGGACGGUCGGGGGCAUCAGUAUUCAGUUGUCAGAGGUGAAAUUCUUGGAUUUACUGAAGACUAACUACUGCGAAAGCAUUUGCCAAGGACGUUUUCAUUAAUCAAGAACGAAAGUUAGGGGAUCGAAGAUGAUCUAGAUACCGUCCGAACACUACCGGG